rnacentral:rRNA from 1 species
UGAGCAAUCUGCCCUUCACAUCGGAAUAACCAUUGGAAACGAUGGCUAAUACCGAAUAUGACUUCAGAUCGCAUGAUCUGAAGUGGAAAGCUCCGGCGGUGAAGGAUGAGCUCGCGGCCUAUCAGCUAGUUGGUGUGGGUAAUGGCCCACCAAGGCGACGACGGGUAGCCGGCCUGAGAGGGUGACCGGCCACACUGGGACUGAGACACGGCCCAGAUCCGUACGGG